GGAAUCUUGCACAAUGGAGGAAACUCUGAUGCAGCGAUGCCGCGUGAGUGAAGAAGGCCUUUGGGUUGUAAAGCUCUUUUGUAGGGGAAGAUAAUGACUGUACCCUAAGAAUAAGGUCCGGCUAACUUCGUGCCAGCAGCCGCGGUAAUACGAAGGGACCUAGCGUAGUUCGGAAUUACUGGGCGUAAAGCGCGCGUAGGCCGUUGAGUUAGUUAAUUGUGAAGUCCCAAAGCUUAACUUUGGAACUGCAAUUAAAACUGCUCGACUAGAGUUUGAUAGAGGAAAGCGGAAUACAUAGUGUAGAGGUGAAAUUCGUAGAUAUUAUGUAGAACACCAGUUGCGAAGGCGGCUUUCUGGAUCAACACUGACGCUGAGGCGCGAAAGUAUGGGUAGCAAAGAGGAUUAGAUACCCUCGUAGUCCAUACCAUAAACGAUGAUUGCUAGAUGUUGGAAAUUUAUUUUCAGUAUCGCAGCUAACGCAUUAAGCAAUCCGCCUGGGGAGUACGACCGCAAGGUUAAAACUCAAAUGAAUUGACGG
rnacentral:rRNA from 1 species